UGGUGGGUAGUUUGACUGGGGCGGUCUCCUCCUAAAGAGUAACGGAGGAGCACGAAGGUUGGCUAAUCCUGGUCGGACAUCAGGAGGUUAGUGCAAUGGCAUAAGCCAGCUUGACUGCGAGCGUGACGGCGCGAGCAGGUGCGAAAGCAGGUCAUAGUGAUCCGGUGGUUCUGAAUGGAAGGGCCAUCGCUCAACGGAUAAAAGGUACUCCGGGGAUAACAGGCUGAUACCGCCCAAGAGUUCAUAUCGACGGCGGUGUUUGGCACCUCGAUGUCGGCUCAUCACAUCCUGGGGCUGAAGUAGGUCCCAAGGGUAUGGCUGUUCGCCAUUUAAAGUGGUACGCGAGCUGGGUUUAGAACGUCGUGAGACAGUUCGGUCCCUAUCUGCCGUGGGCGCUGGAGAACUGAGGGGGGCUGCUCCUAGUACGAGAGGACCGGAGUGGACGCAUCACUGGUGUUCGGGUUGUCAUGCCAAUGGCACUGCCCGGUAGCUAAAUGCGGAAGAGAUAAGUGCUGAAAGCAUCUAAGCACGAAACUUGCCCCGAGAUGAGUUCUCCCUGACUCCUUGAGAGUCC
rnacentral:rRNA from 1 species